rnacentral:lncRNA from 1 species
CAAUUUCUCAACAAAAUCACUUUGCUUGGUAAGUAUUUUGGAUUUUAUUGAGUGCUUUAAGCUGCGUGUUGGUGACUUAGUUCAGGCUGAAUUGGAGAGACAUAAUUUUUCUAACUUCCUUUGGCUUGCUUCCCCCGCUGCCCUCUGUCCACACUGCCCAACCUCAGCUUAAGAGAUCCUGACUCAGGGACCAGCCUAGCUGAACUCUCCCUACACCUACCCCAUCCACCUUGGGUGAUUUCCAGGCCACACUUUCCAUGAGCUGAGCACUUGGUGAUGUGUUUGUGAGAAGGAGAAUCUCAGUCCACCUUGCUUCUCUCUCCAUUUAGACUCUAAACAGAGGUAGGGGUAAAAUCAUCUAAGAAAAUCCAGGGUCAGAGGAGUGGAGACUGAAGAGGAGAGCCCUUGUUGUGAGCAGCGAGCGGCUGGCAGGAAAUGCCACCUGAGCCAGCAGCCAGACCCUGCCUGGCAGGUACCACGAGGCCUGUUCCCUGGCACAGAAGCCAGAAAGCCAGUGGAAGUAGAGAGGAGUUCCAUUGUCCUGGAGCUUGGCUGUCACAGGUCUCCUGAACCAGGCUACUCAUUGGAAGCAGGGAUCUUCCAAUCCCCGUGACUCAGGUGAAGUAGCAUCCUUAGGGAUUACUUCCUCCGCCUUCGCGCCUGCCUGCUUCUGUUGGGGCAGGGCUCUGUGCAUGAGGAUGAAGACAAAUCUACAGGAGGAAGAUUCAAAAGAUCUCUGUUUGGGGAAGCUCUAAAACUGAAAAAUAAUCACAGCUAACAUUUACUGAGCAUAUGCUGCAUGCCUAGUAUUGUUCUAAGGGCUGUAUGGAUAUGAACUCAAUCCUCACAACUACCCCAUAAUGUAACUACUAUUAUUAUCCCUGUUUUCAUAUGAAAAAAACAAGAACUAGAGAGGUUAGCUACAUAAAAUGUCCAAGGUCACACAGAAAGGAAGGGAAAGAACCUAGAUUUGAAUCCCUGUCUGGUUUCAGGGCCCAUGUGCUUUGCUGUCAACUACUCUGCAAGGUACCUCUCUGAUAGGGAGGGACUUACCCAGCUUUCGCUCUACCCUCAGGGAGCUCCAGAAUGGUGUGACAUGCAUAUUCCUUGCCCCUCAAGAAUCCCCAAGUUUGAUAGGGGAGGCAGAUAUCCUGUCCUAGGAAGAUAUGUCCAGUCUGAUGGAAAAGACACAAGCUUUAUCUUUGGAUCAUCUGACUAAUACUAGGGACUCAGCCCCAGGAUGUCUACAGUUUGAUGAGUUAUGUUAUUAGAUUCUAAGAGACUCAGUUAAUUCGACUAGACAAAAUUGUGAGCCUUAGUGUUAAAGAGACGAGGAUGGAGCAAAGUUAGGGCAGCUUAAUUGGGGUUGCCCCAGGAGGGGAGGGUGAUACAAGAUUGGCAAUAAGCAGAAGAAAUGCUAGUGGAGAUAAGAGGGCAGGACACUUGUGUGGUGUGCAGACUUGCUGAAGACAAUGUCUGGAAAGCAGGGGUUUGCUUAGUUUAGCAGCUCUCUACCUUGGCUGUCUACUAGAAUCACCUGGAGCUAUGUCUAAAAAUACUGAUGCUUGAACUUCACCCCAGAACAAUUAAUCUUUAGGGAUGAGGGCAUGGCACUGGUGUUUUUAAACAGCCCUCAGGGCAGGGCAUGGUGGCUCAUGCCUGUAACCACAGCACUUUGGGAGGCUGAGGCGGGUGGAUCACCUGAGAUCAGGAGUUCGAGACCAGCUUGGCCAACAUGGCGAAAUGCUGUCUCUACUAAAAAUACAAAAACUACCCAGGCAUGGUGGCACACACCUGUAAUCCCAGCUACUUGGGAGGCUGUGGCAGGAGAAUCACUUGAACCCGGGAGGCGGAGGUUACAGUGAGCUGAGAUCAUGCCACGGCACUCCAGCCCAGGUGACAGAUCUAAACUCCAUCUCAAAAAAUUAAAAAAUAAUAAUAAUAAAAUUAAAGGCCCUCAGGAGGUGCUAUGCACAACUGGUGUUGAGGACCACUGGCUGGGGAUGAGGUCUAUGGUGUCUUAAGCUCUGAGAUCUGGGAUGCUGGAUGACUUAUGUGGAAGAAAUUCUAGAGACAUGAGUUUGCUAUGAACUGAGCUGGUGAAGAUUUGGAAUUAAAGGAAAGGGGGAGGGAAAAGAAAAGCUAAAGGACCAGAGGAGACAGGCCAGAUUGUUGUUUUCGCUGUUAGUGAGCUAGAGAAACUUGGUUCCUCUGUUUCUAGGCUUUUGAGGCAAAAUAAAAGGCCCACAAAAAUCCAAAAGGUCUGAUAACCCAGUCCCUUCUCAUAAAAAGAAUAGCUAUCAAGCCUGAUAUCAGACAUGGAGAUUAGGCAGGAAACACUGAGCUAAGAAUAUUCCCUUCCUUCGAUUAAAGACCUUUUUUUUUAAAUUAAUGCUCUCCUAGGCCGAGUGUGGUGGCUCACACCUGUAACCCCAGUACUUUGGGAGGCCGAGGCAGGCAAAUCACUUGAGGUCAGCAGUUCAAGACCAGCCUGGCCAACAUGGUGAAACCCCAUCUCUACUAAAAAUACAGAAAUUAGCUGGGCAUGGUGGCGGGUGCCUGUAAUCCCAGCUACUCAAGAGGCUGAGGCAGGAGAAUCGCUUGAACCCAGGAGAUGGAGGUUGCAGUGAGCCAAGAUCAUGCCACUACACUCCAGCCUGGGUGACAGAGUGCAACUCCUUCAAAAAAAAAAAAGAAAGAAAAGAAAAGAAAAGAAAACACACACACACCAAAAAUAAUACUUUCCUAAGUCAGGGUCACCCUCGCCUUCCCCUCCAUACACCAUCAUGUGGAGUGGAAAGGAGAAAAGGCUGUCUCGCUGACAUGUCCGGAGCUCCCUACCUCAGGGUUUUUGCCUUUGCUGCUACCAUCUUCCUGCUGCAUUCUUCCCUCAGACGCCUGAGCAGCUAAACCCUCAGUUCCUUCAGGUCUGUGCCCAAAUGUGGCUGUAGCAGAACAGCUUUCUUUGAUUACCUGUAAGAACAGUAAUUCCUCCCUCUCUCCCUCUCCCUAAUCUUUUAUCCUGCUUUAUUUGUCCCCCAUAGCAUUUACCAUAACCUAGUAUAUUUCAUAUUUUUUUCUACUGCCUCUGACUUUCCUCCAGAAUGGAACAUUAAAGGGAAAGACUUUGUCCUUUUUUUUUUAUUAUUAUUGUCUCCCCAAAGCCUAGAAUGGUGACUGGAAAAUAGCAGUCUGGAGCUGAAAAAAUAUCUGUGGAAUGUAUGAUUAAUGAAUGAACAAAUGAAAAGCCUUAUGUGUCUGUGUGUUGGUGUCUUUCUGUGUACGUUUGGGAUUGCAGUCCUAUUUCUCUGGCCAAAGUAUGGCUCUAUUCUUAAGCUGUGCUUGCCUGUGUUUUGGAAUAUAUGAAGAAUUCUCUGGGUCUGUGCAUAUGGGGC